CUGUAAACCUAUUUCUCUUGCUCGAAAAAUUAGGGCUUCUCUGUGUGAAGAUCUUCUAAGAUCCUGUGAUAUUGGUUGUUAUCGCUUUGUUUAGUGCUAAACAUACUUGAUUUGGUUUAUCAUCUGUGGGAGAAAUUCUAGGUUGUCCAUAUUAUGGAAUCAUAGAGUUUCCUUAUUUUUCUGCAUUAUUCCUUUUUUCUGUGUUUAUUUGUUAUUCAUUUGAUUUUGUGGGUUCCUUGUCCAUGGUCCUGCUUUUUAUAGAAGACCCAAUUGUAAAUUGUGAAUUUUGGAAAAAGCCCUAAAUUUCAUUGGACUGGUGUUUGUUUGUAUAUUGGGUUUCACUUCUGGUCAUUCGUUCUAUAAAAAACUUUUAAACUUCUGCUGCAUUAUAAUGUUCUUGUUUUCUGUAUAUGUUUUCGUUUUGUAAAAAAGACACGGUGUCUGGAUUAAAGGAUUUUGUUUAGUGGUUUUGUAUCAGCCCCUUUCAAUUUAUUUGGUUGAAAAUCUAUGCUUUACGGUGAUUUGAGUUAUUUUUAUGAUUUUUGCUUACCAUUUUGUUUGUUUGUGGAGAUACCCGGGAUUUGGUGUUGGUUUUCUGUGGUGGAAGCUGUAGGUUUCAUUGUUAUUCUGAAUGUAUGAUUCCUAUUAUGUUGCUUAAUUGAUUUCCAAUCUGUUCUUUGUUUUUUGGUAGAAAGUUGUUUUGCUGUAAAUGUUAGGACUACUUCUCUAUAUGGGCAUGUGUUGCUUGCAAAGAAUCCAUGGCAUUCCUCUAUGCAUCAUUAAAAUAUACUCCGUUUUCUAUAUGGAGUUAUUGCAUUUUGGUGUUUCUUAAGGUUUUUUUUUUUUUUUAAUCUUCUGUUUUUUAAUCAUUGUGUAGAGAAAUGAGCUUAAGAUUAGCUGAAUAUUGCAUUACUGAAUCAGUGAUAGUGUUGAUUUAUUUGUCUAGUUUCCUUUUGUGGUAUAUGAUUUGCUUUUAGUGAUGUGGUAUUGCAUUUUGGUGUUUCUUAAUUUUUUAUUUAUUUUUUAUCUUCUGUUUUUUAAUCAUUUGUGUAGUUAUAUGGGCUUUAAAGUUAGCUGAAUAUUGCAUUACUGAAUCAGUGACGGCGUUGAUUUAUUAGGCUAGUUUCCUUUUUGUGGUAUAUGAAUUGCUUUUAGUGAUGUGGUACCUUGAUAUUGCAUUUUGGUGUUUCUUUUUUGGUGAAUACCUUUUCUGUGGUUUAUGUUAAUACUUGGAGGAUGGAACAAUUUGUUUGAGUCCAGCUGGUAUUAAUUUAUGGUAAAAGCGACAUUUUUGGUAUUUGGCAACUCCAAGUGAUGAUCUCUAUAUGAUUUCCAUGCGGUGUUAUUUAUUGAUUAUUUAAGUGUUUUAAUCGACUGGUGAACUUCAUUAAUGUUGCUUAUCACGAUAGAAUUUGUCACUAAAACAAUGUUGGUAGUUUUCUUCAUGAAUAUAUAUUAUAUAAGUUAUACAGGAUGCAUUGGAUGUAGUUUGUCCUUUUCAUUUCGAUCUUCAUCAACAAUUUCUAUUAGAAUUUUUGAAUCUGGUCUGACCUUCAUACUGUUCCAUGCUUUGUUACUCAUUCCAUUCUUGUUUAUUAAUGGAUGUGUUUCUUGGUUUUACCGAUCAAUAGUAUUGAUUCUAUUUCUUGGAUUAACGUUCAAUAUGUUGGUGUGAAGUAUUUCUAUGCUUUACUUGAGUUUAUUGCUUGGAUGGUGGUUGAUAAUGGCAGUCUUAGCCAAAGACUUUUGGGUUGCAAUGACUCUCUUCUGUUUUUAAAAUUUUCCCCAUUCUUUAUGUCUUGAUGGAUAACUGCAUGAAUAUGCGGUUGUUGUAAACUUGAUCCUCAUGUUGUUUAAGUGUGAGAAUUUGUACAAAUUGUUUAUACAGUUUUGUGCUUUUUCUUUCUUUUUGGCAAGACUUUGGAUGGCUAUCCAUUAUUUUUGUUGGUGCUGCUCCUAUUGGCGUGGUGCAUUUCCUUUAGAUUGGUUUUGGCAUGUACUUUGUGCUUGUAUAUAUGAUCUUGUUUAUUUUCAUGUAUGGGAUAAUUAGUACCAUUAUUAUCAGUGAACAAUGGUUGACUGCAUCUGGAAAUAUGAUGCAUGUAUAAUGAAGUGGUGGUUCCAAUGUUGUUCCGAGUUGCAACUAUGGGACCCAUGUGCCCUUCAAGAUGCAAUUGCAUCUGAAAAUGUAGGGUGAACAGAAAGAUGUAUUGUGCGAGCCUAUGGAAUGGCUUUAUUGUCAUGUUCUGAUCACCCAAUUGGUUUUCAGACCCUAGGGAUAGGCAAUAAGUUUGGUAAGUAUUCUUAAAGUUAUCUUUGAUCCAAUUGGAUAGGCGCAUGAAUGCUUGGCCUACUGAUGGGUGCAAGAUUCUUAAUUGGGUCAGCUAUUCAUUGAGGGCUCUUCUGCGAAUAUCACUAGUUGGUUCUUGUAGGAGAUAGUUCUUGCUUUGAACCUAGCAGAUUUUGUGGGUGAAGUUGUUUACCCAUUAUGAUGGGAAGUAUAACCUCUGAUGAAGUUUGGCACAUAAAUUAUUUGACGGUAGAUAUGGAGAAAUCUUGUGAUCUCUAAAUUGUGAUGAGGUGAGUAAUGGCAAUGUUUGCUACUAGAUUGAACAAGUGGAAGCAUGUUUGGGUUUUGGCAGUAAUUAGUACAGAGUACAAGGCAGUUAGAACUUUAACAAAUCUUGGUUCCUAGAUUGAGUCAUUUAGGAUUAUAUGUUGGCCACACAUAUCAUUAACAUGUGGCAUUACUUAAAUUGGGCCACAAAUAUCAUCAAUUAGAUGUAGCAUGCUUUAAAUCUGGCAACCAAAUUUGUAUCCAUCCAACAAUUGUUUUUCUUUUCAAAAGGCAAACUUGUGCCUAAUAGAAUUAAUGAUCAUUGUCAUCUUUUUUGUAUUCUAACAUGAGCGAGUCCCCAUUAGUAUAUUGGGGAUAAUUGUAGUGUAGUGCAUUAGCAAUAAUUGAUAUUUGAAAUGGGUGCUACAGACUUGUGAAAGAAGGAUUGGAUAUAAAUAUGCAGCAUGAUGAGUGAGGAGUAUGGACACGUAUUUCACAAAGAUAAGUUAAAAAACAGGGCUAAUGAAGAUGAAGGGAAGUGGAUCGACGUUGUUCUACCUCCUAUGGAGCUGAUGGAUCGAGUUUUUGGGGAUUGGUAUAACGCCGGCUAUGGAAUAUUUUAUUUUGAUUAAUAUGAUUGUAUUCUUGUAAUAAGAACCCAUGCAUAGUGUCCUUUUCGACUACUUGUAAGGGAUAUUGCAUUCAACUUUUCAUUAUGUUCCUUCGUAAUCUUUUUUUCAAUGUAAUGAGAUGUAGUAUUCCGGAUAUGAUAUAAUUCAGGUUGUGUACA